rnacentral:rRNA from 1 species
UACGAAGGGGGCUAGCGUUGUUCGGAUUUACUGGGCGUAAAGCGCACGUAGGCGGAUCGUUAAGUCGGGGGGUGAAAUCCUGGAGCUCAACUCCAGAACUGCCUUCGAUACUGGCGAUCUUUAGUCCGGAAGAGGUGAGUGGAACUCCUAGUGUAGAGGUGGAAUUCGUAGAUAUUAGGAAGAACACCAGUGGCGAAGGCGGCU